GUCUCUGUGGCUCAGUGGUAGAGCAUCAGAAUGUAAAAGCUGAAGGUCUGAAGUUCGAUUCUUCAUGGGGACU